rnacentral:misc_RNA from 1 species
GAAAUUUUAAUUAUUCACCAAAAUGUCUUUGCACAUUCUGAGUUGUUUUCCUAACUUUUAGCUGGAAUAGAUCAAUGCUCAACUUUUCAAAUCAUUUUGAUACAAGUCAGAAAUACAUUGACUGUGAGAUCCUGCCACAUGGAACUUUUUGUAUCUGAAUACAAAAAAGAGGCAAUGGCAUGGUGGUGUUUUCCCCGCCAAGAGACCUCUGAUGAUUAAGUCAGUGACUUGAUGGAAAAUGUUAUCAAC